AACUCACCUACACCAGGACAAACAAUAUGCGUCCCAAACUCAAGCUACAAAUACCCCACAUGCUCACUCCUCGUAACUCGUAACUGGCGAGCCUCUCAAUUGAUCUAAUACACUUAACUUAAGUAAUAAAAAAGGCUUAAAGAAAUAGUAAUAAGAGGCAAGUGAGACCGAAUUCUUUUUUCAUAAAUCGUGAAAGAUAUAGUGGACAUGGAGGGGAGAGAAGAAGAUGUGAGGGUGGGUGCAAAUAGGUACAUAGAGAGGCAACC
rnacentral:lncRNA from 1 species